CAGACCCUGAGCUGAGGAUCAACUGCAGGACGACUCGUCUCCCUUGGUGGCUUCCUUGUGUUGCGUCUGAACUUUUUCCAAAAGGCAGGCAGGAGAGAGAAGGUGGUGGAUUUUCCUCCCUGGGAUGUUUGGUAGUGGAGGCCGAAAGGGAGAUCUCCCCUGGAAGGGUCUUCUCUUGAAAUUUGUUCUUCCCACAAGGAAAAAACUGUUCUGGUCUUUGGGUCCUGAAGGGACAAUUCAGGGCCAUCGGCUGUGCAAAAGACCUGCCUCUCGUUCCUAGGGAUUCGCCCUCCUGCCUCCACUUCUUGGCUCUCCAUGAGGUGCAGCAAAAGGGGCUUUGGAAACAGGCCGAAGGAGCUCCGGUCAUUUCCACAUGGAGGGCAAGAGGAAAGAAGGACCGGAAGGCAACCCAGCCUCUCCUUCUGGGGCAUUCCCUCUCCAGGCAGGUCUUUUGCGGAGUGAAUGGCUCUGAAGGGUCCGUUCCAGAGAAAGUGAUCAUAAACUGCUUUCUUUUACAGCAGGGGCAGUUCACACCAAGAACCCCUCCCUCGGUUGCCACCUUUCCCAGCUCCUGUGAGGUUGGCAGUGAGCUCAAAGGAAAAACAAAGUCUAAGCAAGGUUGGGGGUUGGAAGACAACACGCCAGAAAAGUCCUGAGACCUGAACUCUGCCCAUCUUGGGUUGGCAACACCACGACACACGGCCCUUGGCACGGAGGCCGAGGAGCCCCUUUGGAGACGCCCCCUGUGUUGGGAUCCUUGAGGCGACAAAAAUAAAUGCUCCCCUGAGAACAGAGGGCCUAGUUCAACUGCCGGGUCGAGGCUGAGGUGAGUUGUCUUUGCUGUUUUUAGGGCCAAAACCGAAGAAUCAAAUCCCAGAUCCUUCCAACAUUUGCAAGAUGAUGACCAGGAGAAGAGGAAUUUCCCAGCAACACUUGGGGCAUCCUGGGAAGGAACUCAUAUUGAAGCAAGAAAAUGGAGAAUUUAAAUUGCAACCUCUAUUUCGCUACAGCUCCCAAGGCUGGAACUUGGAAUUUUUGGAUGAUCUGACUCACUGAAUUCCCCAAGGAUUCAAUGGGUCUCCUCGAGUGCACCUUAUGACACUAAGGAACAGGAUUUUGAUCUGGGAGUGCAACCACACUGAAGGAUGCUUUGUGAAGUUCGGAGCGCUCCCUUGAGGAAGCCUGCCGACCAGGAGCGGUUUAGACCAUCCCCCCCCCCGGUAAAUGAAGAAAAGUUAAACAAAGAGUUAAUGUUAUCUUGGACUGAGUCCCCAUUAAAUGUUGGCACAAUUGAUGCUAUUGAAAUUGGUGUGGACACUCUGGAUAUUAAACUUAAUAAAAAGUU